rnacentral:misc_RNA from 1 species
UUUUAUUCAGAAAAACAGUUUGGACCCUGUAAACUUAAUGCCAAACCGGCACUAAAUAAAGACCACAAUUCACAGUGCACUAUGAUGAAUCCAACAAAGUGAAACUAGAAACCACAUUUCUGUUAGGUUAUGAAAGCAGUUCUUUUUAUCCAAUAAAGAGUCAACAGAGCAUGUUCCUGAUUUGUGUUUUCUCGUCAGCAAAUAAGGAAAUACAUGUGCAAAUGUUCAGCAAUUGAAACUGAAAACGAGAAGGACCAAAAGAAGAAAUAUGGAUAACAAUUCAACACUUACAUUUCUCUGGAAUCCAACUCUUGGAAUCUAGAGCACUGAAAAUGUUACCCACAGCUAACUUUACCUUCACAAUUCACAUUCUAAUUUCUGCUUUAUAUUUCCCCCAGAAAUAACUAACACAAAAAAUUCCUUAAUUGCUUUAACCUUCGAUUGAAUUAUAGAAGCACAAAAGUACAAAAGAACUUGAAGAGGUUCAAAUUUCCUUUCUCCCUUCCCCUCCAAUUUAUCACCAGCUAUAGUCCAACUCAACAAUACUAUGGUGAACUGAGCUACGAUUAAUUGAUCUAAGACUACCUAACCGGUAAUCGAAGCUCAAAAUGCAACAAAUUUCAACGUUUACACUUGUCAAAAUCAAUCCAGAAACAAAUAAAGAUUCAGCUGGAUCGUCAUCAUAUAACCGAAACAAUAUACUUUUCAUAUAUGUGGAAGCAAACAACAAAAACUAAGCUCUUACACAUCUAAAAUUGAUUUUCCAAAAUCGAAACACACCAACACCAACAAGCGAACAACCAAUCAAAAACAGAUCACACCAGAAUCACAUCGUUAAAAAAAAAUUUCGACAAACAAAAAGAGAAAUGAUCGAACAAGAGACUUACAGC